GAUGAACGCUAGCGAUAGGCUUAACACAUGCAAGUCGAGGGGUAACAUGAGAAGCUUGCUUCUUAUCGAUUCGAGUGGCAAACGGGUGAGUAACGCGUAAGCAACCUGCCCUUCAGAUGGGGACAACAGCUGGAAACGGCUGCUAAUACCGAAUACGUUCUUUUGUCGCAUGGCAGAAAGAAGAAAGGGAGGCUCUUCGGAGCUUUCGCUGAAGGAGGGGCUUGCGUCUGAUUAGCUAGUUGGAGGGGUAACGGCCCACCAAGGCGACGAUCAGUAGCCGGUCUGAGAGGAUGAACGGCCACAUUGGGACUGAGACACGGCCCAG
rnacentral:rRNA from 1 species